CCUGAACAGCCUCCAGGUGCAGAAUCAUCACUGCUUCGUUUCUGUUCCCAGGCACUUUAUACAGACCAGCACCGUGGCACUUUCAGGGCACACAGGAAUGACUCUGUCAAGACUCUCUCAGUUUCAACUGAAGGAAGACUAAUCCUUUUGGCUGAAACCAAAAGGGAACUUACUGUCUCAUUUCACUAAAAUGGCUAGCUUUCAGGUGCAGCUGGAUCAAGGGGUCCUGAUUCUUUAUGACUCAAUUCGUCUCUGAGGUCAUUUCCUGGAUGUUGAUUCCGUUCUGAGACAAGUUCUCCCAUUGUGGCCACGAGAUAGCUGCUGUGGCUGCAGACAGCACAUCCUCUCUGCUCCAACUCGGGAGCCUCUGCCCCGUGUCCCAUCGAAAAGUGUCAUGGGUUCUCAUUGGUUCUGACUGGGGCACAUACCCACCUGGGUCACUUCAUAUGGCCUGGGGAAUCCAGUGGACUGGCUUAGGACAGGGUCAUGUGCUCCCCUGGGGAGGGAGAUUGAGAGUGGAGCAGGGGUGACAUCCCCACAAGAAUCAGGAUGCAGUUUGCAGGAGAAGAGAAAAUCAGUGCUGGAAAGCCAAAAAAAAGCAACAAGGCAACAUUACUACUGUUCAUAACAACAGUUGUAAGUCACUCUCAGCCUCACACUUGCUGGGUCCUGUGUAUCCCCACCCCACUGGGCUUGAGACCUUCGACAGCGAAGAGGAGUUCUGCUCUGCCAACAGAAAAACCGGAGGCAGCAGGGGAGGGAGGAGCUGGCUGUUCCUCCUCAACCCAAGUCGGCUGCGCCCUGCGCAGGGAGGUUGGCACCUGCGGGCCCGGGGUCUCCGCGGGGAAGCUGGCCCAGGCGCCUGCUCCGGGCAGCUGUGGCCGUAACUCUCCGCCUCAGUCAGCUCGGCUGCUGUGACAGAAUCCCACAGACGGGCGGCUCAGACAUCAGCCGUUCACUCCUCACAGCCCCGGAGGCUGCGGGUCCAGGACCAAGGUGGCCGCCCGCUCCUUGCCUGGUGCACACAGAGGGCCAGUUGGAAGCGGCGGAGAGUUAUGCCCUGGACAGACGUGGUCUCAAUGAGGAAAUACCACAGCUCCCUUGUUCUUCAUCCGCGACGAUUUGGAGUAACCUUCUGCACUGUCUCCCGGAGGUCCUCAGUGGGAUUAAGCCCCAGUGGCCCAUAGCAGUGACCUGCUCCUGAAGCACCCCGCUGGCUCCCUUCCCUGCCCUGACUCCCUUCCUGUCUCCCCAAGUGUUUCCUGGGAUCAUCUCCAAAAUCCAUGACUUGCACUUGAAUCCUUGUCUUAGAAAUUGCUUCUGGGGGAGACCAACAAAGACACCCCUCGUGCCUCAGACAGCAGUCGAUGUGACCAGCAGCUGAGGGGUCUGAUUUGGG
rnacentral:lncRNA from 1 species